rnacentral:rRNA from 1 species
AGAGUUUGAUCCUGGCUCAGGACGAACGCUGGCGGCGUGCCUAAUACAUGCAAGUAGAACGCUGAAGGAAGGAGCUUGCUCUUUCCGGAUGAGUUGCGAACGGGUGAGUAACGCGUAGGUAACCUGCCUGGUAGCGGGGGAUAACUAUUGGAAACGAUAGCUAAUACCGCAUAACAGUAGAUAUUGCAUGAUAUCUGCUUGAAAGGUGCAAUUGCACCACUACCAGAUGGACCUGCGUUGUAUUAGCUAGUUGGUGAGGUAACGGCUCACCAAGGCGACGAUACAUAGCCGACCUGAGAGGGUGAUCGGCCACACUGGGACUGAGACACGGCCCAGACUCCUACGGGAGGCAGCAGUAGGGAAUCUUCGGCAAUGGGGGCAACCCUGACCGAGCAACGCCGCGUGAGUGAAGAAGGUUUUCGGAUCGUAAAGCUCUGUUGUAAGUCAAGAACGAGUGUGAGAGUGGAAAGUUCACACUGUGACGGUAGCUUACCAGAAAGGGACGGCUAACUACGUGCCAGCAGCCGCGGUAAUACGUAGGUCCCGAGCGUUGUCCGGAUUUAUUGGGCGUAAAGCGAGCGCAGGCGGUUUGAUAAGUCUGAAGUUAAAGGCUGUGGCUCAACCAUAGUUCGCUUUGGAAACUGUCAAACUUGAGUGCAGAAGGGGAGAGUGGAAUUCCAUGUGUAGCGGUGAAAUGCGUAGAUAUAUGGAGGAACACCGGUGGCGAAAGCGGCUCUCUGGUCUGUAACUGACGCUGAGGCUCGAAAGCGUGGGGAGCGAACAGGAUUAGAUACCCUGGUAGUCCACGCCGUAAACGAUGAGUGCUAGGUGUUGGAUCCUUUCCGGGAUUCAGUGCCGCAGCUAACGCAUUAAGCACUCCGCCUGGGGAGUACGACCGCAAGGUUGAAACUCAAAGGAAUUGACGGGGGCCCG